rnacentral:tRNA from 1 species
AUUAAGAAGCUAUGGACCAGCAUUAGCCUUUUAAGCUAAAGAAAGAGGGGACCACCCCUCCUUAAUGA